CAUGUACUCCCUCCGUCUCAAAAUUAUUGUCUUAUAUUUGUUUAUAUAUGAAUGUAUCUAGUUAAGUUUUAGUAUUUAGAUAUAUCUAUUUCUAAAUAAAGUUAAGACAAAAAUUUUGGGACGGAGGAAGUACUUU
rfam:Hordeum vulgare subsp. vulgare, WGS project CAJW01000000 data, contig: morex_contig_50768